GACUUCAUAUGUGGAAGAUGAGUGAAGUGGUCAUCGUCCCUCCCUCAGCCCUCAGGACGCAGCCUCUUGCUUUCCUCCCAUGCAUAUUGUGCUAAGCGUGGACCAGCACACCCUCUCAGGACACAGGCCGCCGCCUCCCAUCCUGCACCCACAGCGAGCCCAGCCUGGAUUCCCAGGCUUACUCUUUUUGGUCUCUGUUCCUGGCCUCCUCAGCUGCUCCUCCCUGCCCUGACCUAGUUUCUCACGAAUCUCUGUUCUUUGAUAUAGGCUCUUGUAUAGUAUAGCCGGAUGACCCCUGCCUCUCACGUCACCUCAGAGUCUCUCAGCUCCCUAGCAGCAAGCUGUUGCUUCUGAAAUCUUGGUGCCUACUGGAAUGUCCCUUGUCACUGAACCAUCUCGGAGCAGCACAGAGCCUGUGGCGUGGAUCACUCCUCCUUCCAUCCAGGCCCACACCACCUCCUAGUACCAGUCUCUGUUGAUGGUCACUGGCAGCCAGGGUGGAUAUAAGACUAGAAACGGGUCUAAUCUGGAUGCUGGGUCUCUGAACAAGGGCUGAUGUCUUCCGUAGGUCAUUAUCGUCAUCUACCUGUCUGUGGUAGGGGCCCUCUUACUCUACAUGGCCUUCCUGAUGCUGGUGGACCCUCUCAUCCGAAAGCCGGAUGCCUAUACUGAGCAGCUGCACAAUGAAGAAGAGAAUGAGGAUGCCCGCUCCAUGGCUGCCGCCGCCGCAUCCAUUGGAGGACCCCGAGCAAACACCGUCCUGGAGCGGGUG
rnacentral:lncRNA from 1 species